GCAUACCUACGGGGGGCAGCAGUGGGGAAUAUUGCACAAUGGGGGAAACCCUGAUGCAGCGACGCCGCGUGAGCGAAGAAGUAUUUCGGUAUGUAAAGCUCUAUCAGCAGGGAAGAAAAUGACGGUACCUGACUAAGAAGCUCCGGCUAAAUACGUGCCAGCAGCCGCGGUAAUACGUAUGGAGCAAGCGUUAUCCGGAAUUAUUGGGUGUAAAGGGUGCGUAGACGGGAUAACAAGUUAGUUGUGAAACCCCUCGGCUCAACUGAGGAACUGCAACUAAAACUAUUAUUCUUGAGUGCAGGAGA
rnacentral:rRNA from 1 species